CAGCCGCCACGGUAACACGUAGGGUGCAAGCGUUAAUCGGAAUUACUGGGCGUAAAGCGUGCGCAGGCGGUUAUAUAAGACAGAUGUGAAAUCCCCGGGCUCAACCUGGGAACUGCAUUUGUGACUGUAUAGCUAGAGUACGGCAGAGGGGGAUGGAAUUCCGCGUGUAGCAGUGAAAUGCGUAGAUAUGCGGAGGAACACCGAUGGCGAAGGCAAUCCCCUGGGCCUGUACUGACGCUCAUGCACGAAAGCGUGGGGAGCAAACAGGAUUAGAUACCCCGGUAGUCCCUGUCUCUUAUAC
rnacentral:rRNA from 1 species